AUUUUCAGAUCAGGGCUCUCGACUCCCCAUAAAGGUGUCAUCUGUGAAUGAAAAGCCUAAUAAGGAGACCCCACAAACACCCUGGGCUCCUGUACCCCAUGAUCCGUUCUCAGAGAGUGGGAAGCAACAGCAAAGUGGAAGGAACAAAGCACUGACGUCAAUUACGAGAUUAACCCUGCGCACAGGCAGCUGGGGAGGCCUAAACAUCAAUACCCAAAGCCCGGCCAUGGCGAUCGCCAGGAAUGACUUGAGUCAGACGAAGGAAAAAUUUUUCAAAGGAUAAAUCCGCCGACCGAAUCAAAGGGAGGAAUGGAGGAAGGGACAACGGGGGGGGGGGGGGAGGAAAAAAAGAAGAAACGGCCAGAUGAUGGGCGUCUGGAAUGUCGGAUGGGAACGGCUUGGCCUUUAAAGAAAAAAAAAAUGAUUUUUCUUGUUUGAAAUUGAUUUCGGAGAGAAAGUGGGACGAGAAAACGUAGGGCGAAGCCGGAUCCAGG
rnacentral:lncRNA from 1 species